AUGACCUUGAGAAAAUAAUACAAGUAAUGGAUGGAACCUUAAGGUGGUUAUCUUGAUUGCUUCCCUUUUUGUGGAGAGAGCGAUACACUAGGUCGUUUGAUGUGAGGGAUAAGAAUUAAUAGUCCUAGGGUAAAAAAAUAGUCCAGGGAUCAAACUUUGGUGUUUCGUUGUUAUGUUUGAGAUAACUUAACCCACCAUUUAUACCAUAGUGAUGGGAUAAGUUAUCUCAUAUACAUGGUUAAGUUGUCCCAGGAUAGCUUCCAUCUUGGGAUAACUUGUUCCCAACCA
rnacentral:misc_RNA from 1 species